rnacentral:rRNA from 1 species
UACGUAGGUGGCAAGCGUUGUCCGGAUUUACUGGGCGUAAAGAGCGCGCAGGCGGUUGAUUAAGUCGAAUGUGAAAGCCCCCGGCUCAACUGGGGAGGGUCAUUCGAUACUGAUCGACUUGAAGGCAGGAGAGAGAAGUGGAAUUCCCGGUGUAGUGGUGAAAUGCGUAGAUAUCGGGAGGAACACCAGUGGCGAAGGCGGCUACCUGGACCGGUUCUGACGCUGAGGCGCGAAAGCGUGGGUAGCAAACAGG